rnacentral:lncRNA from 1 species
CCUUUUGAAUGAAGCCGUAGGAGAGCAGUACGAGCUAGAAAAUUGGUAACGCUGGUAGUUCGUAGCAUGAUGUUUGGGAUGUUUAGAUCCUUAGCUACAGCUUUAGUGAAGUACAUAAGGUCAUCAUGGAUAAGGCAUGUGAUUUUGUUCUCGGGAUCCUGUUCCAUAAAUUGAGUCAAGGGCUGUCGGAAACACGCUGUGCAGUUGGCAUUUAUGGCCAGCGAAAUGGCCACUGCAUUCCCAGAUGAGAUCUCUUCAGCAGUCAAGCCAUCUUGUAUUGGAAAGAAGGUGAAAUCCGGGUGGUUUGAAGGGUUGGGGGAGUUGAACUGGGUGUGAAUAACAGUGAUAGAAAAGCCCUUUGAGUGAAGGAAGGAACCCAGCUGAAGCAUUGGAUUUAUGUGACCUUGGUAUGGACAUGGGAAUAAGACCAACCUGUUACUCUGUGUUUUCUUUUCCAUCUCCAUCCUUCCUUCUUUCUUUUUUCUCUUAGAGAGACAUAGACACACACCCCCAAAAGGUUACAGUGAUUGGAUUUCUAAAUUUUUGACUGCAUCAUUGAAACCCUUGGAGUUUUUAUAAAGGUGAGUUAUUAAAAACAUCCUUUUUUACCUUCUGCAUAAGCCUCUAAAUUCAAGCUCUUGAUUACUCUUUGAUUUGUUCAGGACAAUGACUGAAUAUAAAAUACACACACACACACACAUCCCGAUUUGCCAUCCCAGUAUCACAAGCUAAUAACACGAUGUCAUAAAUUUUAACUUCUUCACAUUACAUUAUAUUAUUGGCACAGAAUAUCACAAGGGCAUAUACGAGCAUCUAUAGGCGAUAGCUAUUCAGCUACCAGUAGCUUUGGCUACAUCUUCCUGGAUUAAAGCGGUAAGCGGUAACGGCUGAUUCUCUCAUCUCUUCCAGAAGGGAUUGAUGACAAUUGCAGAUAAAAUAUCUUUGGUCUAAAAUAAUUUUAUUGUCAUUGUUAUAUUGUUAGACAAGGGAAAAACAACAAGCUAUGUCUUCAUCUCUUAGGGAUCACGAUAAGUUGAUUGUCCUUGUUGAAUUAGUAUUCCUCCAAUACCUAAAGUUUAAUACCUUUAACUUAAUUAAUUGUUGAACAGUUGUUUUAACCUUAAUUUUUUUUUCCAGGAAAAAUGUGGCUUUUGAAUUGAAGAAAUGCUGCCUCCUUACACAGUGACAUCUGAAAAUUUUCAUUAUUUUGUCUCCCUAACAUUACUAUUUGUCAAAAGGGAAGCGUAGAAAAUUAGAAAUCAAUCUCCUUUCAUAAAUUCAAGCCCCAAUGAAUGGUACACACCUUCCUUCCCUAAAAUUCCACACAUUUCCUGCCAAUCCUUUGUUCAAGAUGAUUGACCAAUCAGAUUUUUCGUAAUAAAGAUCAUAUAAAUGAGCUGAUAAUGAAAAAAUUUGACGAAGUCAUCGUUUUUAUAUUUCACUUUCAUUGUGAAUUGGCAACACUGACCUAAAAAAAUCUGAGUUUUGCACGAAUCAUAAUCAAACGUAAGAAAAUUGUGAAUAAAUUUAAUACAAGUAGGCCUGACAAUUUCUAACACGAUUUGAUAACCCGACACGACACGACACGAAAUUAACAGGUGUUCAGGUCGAUACGAUAACUAAUCGGAAUGUUAUUGGGUAACCCGAUAAGCACCUGUUAAGAUAACGGGUUGGUUCGGGUAUAUAUGUGGGUAACACGAUACACGAUAAUCAAAAUAUUAAUUUUAUAAUUUUAUAACCCUAAAAAAACCUAUAAUAAUUAUAUAUAUUAAAUUAAAUGUUAAAAAUUGGUGAUCAUUGGAUCGGCUUAAAUAUAUAUAUCAUUCAAUUUCUUAAGUGUUAUACGUACAAAAUAAAUAAAUUUAAAUCUACUUAAUAUAUAUAUAUACACACACACACACACCAUUGAACUUGAUGGGAUACAAAUUUUACGAAAUUAAUUUUAACGAUUCAACCAUCAAACUUGUUUGUAUAUGCUUUGAGAUUGCAUUAGCAAAAAUUGAAAAAAACAAACAUUCAGAGAUCAAGUAAUGGGACAAAACUUUUCGACGGUUAUCAACGAAAAAUCACAAUUUAACUGUUAUUUUAACUUCGAUUUUGAUGAUUUUUUACAGCUACACUCCUUGACCCUGAAUACAAUGAAUGAACUCGAUCUUCAAUUUAAAAUAUUUACACUAGUAGAUACCACAAAAUCUUAUGUUAUACUUAAUGAAAGUAUGCAUAAACUCUUAAAUGUUAGUGAAUAUAUUGUUUUAUGGGAUAUGCAUUCUACGAAAUUAGUUUCAACUAUCCAACCGUUAAACAUGUUUGUAACUUUGAGAUCGCAUACGCCAAAAAUUGCAAAAAACAAACAUUUAAAGAUCAAGUAACGGGACAAAACUUUUCGACGGAUAUAAACAAAAAAUCAUGAUUUAAUGGUUAUUUUAACUCCGAUUAUGAUGAUUUUUUUACAGCUACACUCCUUGGCCUUAUAUGAAUACAAUGAAUGAAUUCGAUCUUCAAUUUAAAAUAUUUACACUAGUGGAUACCACAAAAUCUUAUGUUAUAUUGAAUGAAAGUAUGAAUACACUCGUUAAAUGUUAGUGAAUAUAUCGUUUUGAUGGGAUAUGCAUUCUACGAAACUAAUUUCAACGAUCCAACCGUCAAACUUGUUUGUAUAUGCUUCAAGAUCGCAUACGCCAAAAAUUGCAAAAAACAAACAUUCAAAGAUCAAGUAACUGGACAAAACUUUUCAACGGUUAUCAACGAAAAAUCAUGAUUUAACGGUUAUUUUAACUUGAUUUUGAUGAUUUUUUAUAGCUACACUCCUUGACCCUAUAUGAAUACAAUGAAUGAACUCGAUCUUCAAUUUAAAAUAUUUACAUUAGUGGAUAUCACAAAAUCUUAUGUUAUACUUAAUGAAAGUAUGAAUAAACUCUUAAGUGUUAGUGAAUCUAUUGUUUUGAUGGGAUAUGCAUUCUACGAAACUAGUUUGAACGAUUCAACCUUCAAACAUGUUUGUAUAUACUUCAAGAUCACGUACGCCAAAAAUUGUAAAAAACAAACAUUCAAAGAUCAAGUAAUGAGACAAAACUUUUUGACAGUUAUCAACGAAAAAUCACGAUUUAACGGUUAUUUUAACUCUGAUUUUGAUGAUUUUUUACAACUACACUUCUUGACCCUAUAUGGAUACAAUGAAUGAACUCGAUCUUCAAUUUAAAAUAUGUACACUAGUGGAUACCCAAAAAUCUUAUGUUAUACUUAAUGAAAGUAUGAAUAAACUAUUAAGUGUUAGUGAAUCUAUCGUUUUGAUGGGAUACGCAUUUUACAAAACUAAUUUCAACGAUCCAACCGUCAAACUUGUUUGUAUAUGCUUCGAGAUUGCAUACGCCAAAACUCGCAAAAAAACAAACAUUCAGAGAUCAAGUAACAGGACAAAACUUUUUGACGGUUAUCAAAGAAAAAUUAGGAUUUAACGGUUAUUUUAACUCCGAUUUUGAUGAUUUUUUACAGUUACACACACUCCUUGACCCUAUAAGAAUACAAUGAAUGAACUCGAUCUACAAUUUAAAAUAUUUACAGUAGUGGAUACCACAAAAUCUUAUGUUAUACUUAAUGAAAGUAUGAAUAAACUCUUAAGUGUUAGUGAAUCUAUUGUUUUGAUGGGAUAUGCAUUCUACGAAACUAGUUUCAACGAUUAAACCGUCAAACAUGUUGGUAUAUACUUCAAGAUUGCAUACGCAAAAAAUUACAAAAAACAAACAUUCAGAGAUCAAGUAACGGGACAAAACUUUUCAACGGUUAUCAAUGAAAAAUCACAAUUUAACGGUUAUUUUAACUCCGAUUUUGGAUGAUUUUUUUACAGCUACACUCCUUGACCCUAUAUGAAUACAAUGAAUGAAUUCGAUCUUCAAUUUAAAAUAUUAUACUAGUGGAUACCACAAAAUCUUAUGUUAUACUUAAUGAAAGUAUGAAUAAACUCUUAAGUGUUAGUGAAUCUAUCAUUUUGAUGGGAUACACAUUCUAUGAAACUAAUUUCAAUGAUCCAAUUGUCAAACUUGUUUGUAUAUGCUUCAAGAUCGCAUAUGCCAAAAAUCGCAAAAAACAAACAUUCAGAGAUCAAGUAACGGGACAAAACUUUUCCACGGUUAUUAACGAAAAAUCACGAUUUAACCAGUGUUCUAAAAAUCGGCCUAGGCGGCGCCUAGGCGUUGGGCGGCGGAGCCCCGACUAUAUUUCGGCCAAAACGUUCACUUAAGGUGGGGAGGAUUUAGGCGGUCGCCUAGGCGCUCAUUAGGCAUUCUAGGCUGUGUUAGGCGGCAGUCAAGGCGGCUGCAAAUCCCAAACUCACUGCAACUCUCGCAGCAAAUCUGCGUCGUACGUAGAAGCAGAGCCUCAGCGAGCUUCUGAAGCUUGUCGUCUAUGAGCAGAUGAGGGCUCGCCGUCUAUGAGCAGAUGAAGGAAGAUAUAGUACGAAUAGAGAGAGAGAGCCUCAGCAGCGUGAGUUGCAGUCUUGCAGAUUUAGUUUUUAGCAUCUGAAAGGGCUAAUGAAGAAGAAGAAGUGAAAAGGUUUAAUGGGAAUGAUACUUUCACUUUUCGAUGGGUCAAAAUAUGGUUUUGAUUUGAGCUCCACCUUGGGGAAUGUAAGAGAGGUGGUGGAACCCGGUUUUUAAUUUUGAAACCAAGCAUUGGCACACUGCAUGGUUUUGUUAUUGGGGAAUGUUAGAGAGGUGGAGUGGAACCCGGUUUCUAAUUUUGAAACCACCCACUGACACAAUGCAUGGGCUUGUUAUCUUUUGAAAAGUUGGAGAUAUAAAUAAAUAUAUAUAUCUAUAUAUAUAUAUAUUAUAAAUGUUAUAUGAAUUAUUUAGAUAAUGAUUUUUUCUUAGACUAUCAUAUUAUAUACAUAAAAUAAGUAAUUAUAUAGUCAUAUAAUAUAUAAUAAAUCUAAAUCUGUCUAGGCGUUAGGCCUCAGCUCGUCACCUGACUAGUGCCUAACGUUUUUUAGAAUCAUCUUUUUGCAUUUUAUCAUUUUUUUAUAUUAUCUUAUCCUUGGAUUUCAUACAAGUAUAAUUUUUUGUAAGUGUCAAUAUGCACUUAUUUACAAGAUAUAUAAGAAAUUUACCUAAAUCCGCCUAGGCGCUAGGCGCUAGCCCGCCGCUCGACUAGCGCCUAGCGUUUUUUAAAACCUUGGAUUUAACGGUUAUUUUAACUCUGAUUUGAAUGAUUUUUUACAGCUAUACUCUUUGACCCUAUAUGAAUACAAUGAAUGAAUUUGAUCUUCAAUUUAAAAUAUUUACACUAGUGGAUACCACAAAAUCUUAUGUCAUGAUGAUUGAUGAAAAUUGAAGAUUUUGUAAAAGGAAUAACAUGCAAGCUUUGAGUUCCAUUGGCAAGGUUUAAACUUUUGAGAAAUGCUUCAUAACCUUGAAAACAAAAACUCUUUCAUUUUGCAUAUCCUUACCCAUUUAAUAUUUUGUAAUAAACUAGUAGUGUAUGGAUGUUUGUUUAUUAUGCUCUUAUUUUCGAGUGUAGAUGUACUACUUAAACGACAAAUGUGUUUUAAUGUUUUGAAGUAAUAUUUAUGUGGCAAUGUGUGGUAUGUGCAAAUUUGAGAAAAAAAAAAUAUUUUUCUUAACGGAUCAUAACGGGUCGGGUCUGUUAAGAUAACGAGUGUGACAUGACACGACUUGUUAAGAUAACAAGUGUUACACGAAAACGACACAAACACGACAAACAUGACCCAUUUGCCAGGCCUAAAUACAAGAACAAGAGUCCUGAUCUUCUAAGGUUUGAUUUUGAGGACUUGUGAGGACCAAAUGCAUAUUAGCUACAAAUUGUAUUAGUUUAGAUCCAAAAGUUUAAAUUUUUUGACAAGUUAAUAAAGCAAAACAAGAAAAUGAGUUUUCUAAUAGUUCAUGAAUUUUAAGUUGGUUUUGAUUAUUAAGUUGUCAAAUAUUUUAAGCCUUUGGAUCUAAAUAAUCUAGUGGCUAAUAUGCAUUGAGUCGUCAGAUCCUCAUUUUGAGAACCCUACAAGAGCAGGACUAUAAGAACAAUUCAUGCUCCAAAUGGUCAAUCAUCUUGGUCAAAUGGAAUUCGUGCAAAAUCAUCUUGAGCUGAAGAAAUUGCAUGUAGGGCAUCGCUGAAAGAUCGGGUUUCUUUCUGUCGGUAUCCAUAUUCAACGUCUCCACCAUAACUUUACGCAAAUGUAGGUGUUUAUAAGUUAAUGUUCUUGUGAAAUUGGUAAUAGUAUAUAUGAGAAUGAAGCCCAAAGGGAAUGGUUGGGGUGGCAGCUUUCAAGUGCUGCAAUACCAGCCAGUGCAGCCACCCAACUCCUUUAAUGAAGGUUUUUAGUUAUAAUAAGAACAUUGGAAUUGCAUGUUAGCGUCGAGAAAUAAUGUACUUGAAUGGCUGGCCACUUUCUCGAAUCUAGCUAGUGGAUGACCAUAGGCUGCAUUUUGCAGUUAGUAUUUGGCAAUGAUAUAUCGGUUUGUAUCGGAAAGUUAUAGGGUGUUACAGUUGAACUGAAUUAGAUCCUUUUUCAACUUCUAACUUCUCAUUAUUGUCAAUUUCUGGAAUCCAAACUUGUAUAGCUUCAAAAUUUGGAAUUCAAACUUGUGUAGUUUCAAAUGUAAGGGGGUACCUUCGUUAGACAAGCGACGACAUUGUUCAAGAAUCAAUCAGAAAUGUUGUGGUUAUAGGUCUCUUCUGGUUUCCCUUAAGCACUAGUCUAAUUGCUUUGAUACCAUUCCGAAGGAGGAGGUUGGACUUUAUUCUAUCGGAGUUCCACUUCCGGGCAAACCUUGUUUUAUGUCGGAGUAUGAAAAGUUGUGUCUUAUUGUGUGAUUAAAUGUAUGACAUAGAUGUGUCUGUAUUUUCUACUAUUUAUUUUUCGUUUGUUAAAAAAAUUCACUCAUACCAUCGAGUUUGUUUAGAAUCUAGUAAAUUUAGUUCUUUUGUAUGAUUAUAAUAUGUUUUUAACUUUAGAUCAAGCCCACCUUAUUUUCAAAUCCCGGUCCAUCGCGGGCUGUGUUCGUCUACUUUAUAGCAUACAAAAUAUCAUGAAUGAUGAAGCUUACGAUAACUGAUUUUGCUAAUUUAGUAUGAAAUUGGAUGCUACUCUGUUUAUAGUAUGAACGAUGAAAUUUACAAAUGUGGGUUACACUAGUUGAUUAUGCUAGUGUGUUUGUUCCUUUGCAGCCAAGUUAUUCUCAUCCUUGUAAAUUAGACUAGUGUAAUAUCUCUCAGUCAAAACAAAAUAUGUUGAUCCUUACAUAUGGUUGGCAUAUCAAUGGGACUGCUUGAAAGAUACUCUCAACGAUUCAAUUCCAACCACAAUGGCUCCAAAACUGUCCAACUCCUGUGUGUCGGGACUUGCUUUCGGGGUGCUCAUUUCACUAUGUGCCCCCUUUGACCAACCCUUUAUUGGAAACCUUCGGGCAAUGAUACGCAGUCCGUCCGAACCUUUUAUUGGAAACCUUCGGGCAAUAAUACGGAGUCUGUCCGAACCACUCACAAGAAAGGCUUCUCAUUGGUGGCCAGACCCCAUGCCAUUAUAUAAAUCUUCAUUAUCCAUGAAAGCUAUGCUUCCUAGGCUUACAUAGCCGAUAGAGAGUUUUGUGCUUGUUUAUCGAGCCAUGACAUACAGCUCUGGCCAUCUUUCAACAAGAUUAUAAACAUGGAUGGAACAGUUUCUUGUAGAGGACUGAUAGGAAACUGUAACGACCCAUCCCCAAAUAUUACGAAUUUUAUAAUUUUAAAAUGUGAAAUUACGAAAAUGCCCUUCGAGGCAAAUACGUUGACUUUUGUUGACUGUCUUGUCAUGUCACAUAAGAUCCAUUCCCUUGGUGUAUCCUCAUAGUACUCGUUGCUAAAAACUCGUGGGCGCAAACGGAAUGUAAUUUGGAGUUACAAUGAAAGAGUUAUUAACGAACGAAGUUGAGGGCAAAAUGGUCAUUUAACCAUAAAUCUGGAAGGCUCCAGAUUUUGUUGGAGCAUCAAUUUAGUGCCAUGUGUGUGGUUGUGAUCAAGGAAGAAAAUAUCGGUGAUAUCGGAAAUAUCGGUAGUCCGAAAACACGGAAAUAUCGAUGGAAAUAUCGGUAAAAUAUCGAUAUCGAUAAAAAUUACAUGGAAACCACGGAAAUUGUAAGAAAAACUUGGAAAUUUUUAUUGAAACUUUGUAGGAUGUUUAUUUAGUCAAUUAUCUAUUAGUUUAUCACAAAAAAUUGGAAGGAAAUGCAUUGCAUGAUGGAUUUAACAUUAUCAAGUUGAUUAUAUAGCGAUCUGACAAACAUUAUGAGUGUAGAAAAUAUGUAGUAAUUAAUGAAAGAAGUCUAAACACACCAUAAUCAUUUAUAUAUAAUGAAUUAGUACAAUAUUUUACACUUUAGAACCACAAUAUUGUAAAAGCUGCAUGAAAUUGUCUAAAUAAUUGUAAAACUAUUGAGUGAGUUUAUCCUCCUGACAGGAGGAACCCACACACAUCAUCACUGUCAAAAACACAUCGCACGCACACACAACGCACGCACGCAGACCACACCUCAGUCUCUCUCUCUCUCGAUCCUUCUCGUUCUCUCUUCUCCCUUCUCUUCUUCCAAACACACACACACACACAGAGCUCCUCAGUCUCUCCCUCUCUCGAUCAUCCUUCUCCAUCUCUCUUCUCCCUUCUCUUCUCCCACACACACACUCACACAGAGAGCUCCACAGGUUGACAUCGGAUCCAAGUCCAACACACGCACACACAGAGAUCGGACUCACAGAGAUCUCCGAUCUCUCUUCUGCCAAACACACACACAUGCACACAGAGAUCUCUCGAUCUCUCAUCUCCAUUCUCCGAUCUCUCUUCUCCCUUCUCCGAUCUCUCUUCUCCCAAACACCCACAUACAAAGAGAGAUCUCCGAUCUCUCUUCUCCCAAACACACACACACACAGAGAUCGCCGUUGAUCGUGGCUCAGGCGAAGUCAGAGGUGCGCCGCGGAGCAAGGAUCGUUCGUAUUCCGCUUCGUCAGGUGAGAUUCCAUGAAACCCUAAACCCUAAUCUCUCCGACUUCACCCUGCCUUGAAUCGUUUGUAUAUUUGUGAAAUCUGAUGUAUAUUUGUGAAAUUAAUGUUAAGAUUCGUGUUUUUGCAAGGUUUUUGGGACGAAACCGGCCCGGGAAUCGCCCCACCGUCUCCGGCGUUCUUCUCCGACGUCGCCUCGGAUUCCGAUUCCACCGUCCAUGGAUAUUUCGCCGAUAAUUUCCAAAUAUCGCGAUAUUUGGCCGAAAACCCCACGGAAACCAGUUAAAAUAUCGCCGACCGGAAAAAUCGAUAUUAUCGGCGAUAUUUCGCCGAUAAUAUCGAUAUUUAAAUCUGUGGUUGUGAUGGAAAGAAGAGGAGAGAAAUGAGAGGGGUGUUGCCCAAUCGGGAAUGAGGGAAUCUGGACCCGAAGGCCUCCAUGGUUUCCGACGCCUUUCACGGCGGAUUUUCGGCUAGUUGAAGCCACUCACCACCUGAGAAGCGUCAAAUCGAGAAAACCUAUUUCAAGGAUUUUCGACGGAUCAAUGGUGACUUGAGCUAUUUCCCGACUGAAUUGAACUUUGACCCAUGUAUGAAAGUUGUUCCUCUCAUUGAGAUCUUCAUUCCUGCAAAAUUUGGGAAUUUUUGGAGUUGUUGAAUUUUUCGGCAAGUCGUGGCUGCCAGUCGGCGGCGACGGUGGCGCGUGGCCUUCUGGGCCGCCGCUUCAUGGAGGUUUGCACGACGGCGCGUGGGGGGAAACCCGAGAUCCCUUCUUAGGUUUUUCAAUGUGCCGAAUCCGAAUUCGCUGUCCGUUUUCCCAAAUUCUAUCGUUUAUGUAUAGUUUUACUAAAUGGUUCCUAAUUGUGUUUAGAUGUGCGUUAAUAGGAAGCGACACCAUUCUCGCUAGUUCAAGCUGCUCUCGGGCAAUGGAAAACUUAUGAGUGGACCCCUUCUUAACUUGCAUGUUUUUAUAAAAUAUUAGGCUUGUAUUCACGAAAGACAUGAUUUCAUGAUUUUACGCUUUAUGCAUUAAUUAUGAUUUAUUCAAAUUGCUUUUAUGAAAUAUUUAUGAUUUAUCGAAAUUAUGUUUUACUAAAGGCUAUGAAUUAUUAGAUUCUCGUUUAUGAAGUUCUAGGGAUUUACGAAUAUGAUUUAUUUUACGGAUUUAUGAGUAUGUACUAUCUUGGAUUGAUGAAAUGAGACUUUGAGGUUUUGAGUUUUGGAUUUGGAUAUGAGUUUUUGAGAUAUGUUUUUGGUGCUUAUCUAGUGGGUUAUCAUACAACACAUCCACACAACACGGGUAUGUAGAUGUCUAUGGCCAUAGGGCACAAUUGAUGAUAUCUAUGUAUAUAUUUCUUCUCCUGUGUAACCCAGAGUCGUACAACUUCACCUUUGGAUGAUGGGGCCUACCAUGUUUCUUCAGUAGCGUAACCCAGUGUCGUACAACUUCAUCUUUGGGUGAUGGACAUGUAUUGCCUUCGGCCGAAUGAAGAGUUAAUGAUAUUGAUGACAUACCCCUAACUUCACUGAUGAAACUAUUGUCGAAUAGCUUCACUAGACACGGCUAGUGUCGGUGUGUGAUGUUAUAUAUAUUCUCUUCUCUGGCGUAACCCGGAGUCGUACAGCUUCACCUUCGAAUAUGUGACUAGGGCUCAACAUGAAUAAUGAUUAAGGAAGCAUGGCGAGAUGAAUAGGCAUGAGCAUCGUGUCUUAAUCACCAUGGCAUGACAUGUUUUUAAAUAUAUUCCUCGUUGAUCCCGUGCCUUGGCAUGUAUUUGGGCUUGAAUGUAGGCUUUGCAUGACAAUUGGUCUUUGAGACUUGGUUGGAUUGAUGUGUGACAUUUUUGGACCCCAACACUAUGUUAAGUUGCUACGAAAAAUUUCCCAAUUUCUCAGCUUUUAGUUAUGUUAGUUUAUAAUUGCAACAACUUUUUUGAGUGUUGUAGCAGAUAUGCAACUAUAAAGGCUUCUUUAGAAGUAUAACAGUUUGACUGUGGUUUCAGUCAUUAAGGGGGCCAAAUGCUUAGUGUUAUAUAGAUUGCACUUAUAAGACAAAUACUAUGCAUUGAUUCAUUCAUAUCUUGUUGGAUUUUCAUGUGUUUGUUAAUUUCAUGACAAUCUUGGGGAUAGUGUUUAAUUUGUAAAAUGUGAUUCCCUCUAAUUCUUCAUGGAUAUUAGCUCAUGACAGAAGUUUGUUUAUCAUGGAUUUUAAUGUUUUGAUCUCAUGGCCAUUAAGAGCAACUUUUUUUUAAUAUUCGGUUUCGAGUAUGUUGUAUACAAGUGUUGACUCUAGUGGGAAAAUGUAAGACUAUAUUAGAGUUCCACACUUGUAUGUAACGUCUCCUGUAGAUUAAGGAUUUCAUAGACUGAUUUCAAUAAUACUUGUACGCUAAUAAAGAGAGUGUAUUAUUAGGAUUUUAUAGGUAAAGCAAUCCUGAUACGAAUAGUAAACUUAAUCAAAUAUGAAUACUGAAGUUUAGGUGAUAAAGUCUCGUUCGAGUAGAAUUACAUGAUGGGAAGUUCCCUACUCGAAUUCCACCUCUUUUACUAUAUAACAACGGUCUUUGCUCUCACACUCGAUACACAGAAAUAACCCCUUCUAGGCUUAUUGAAUAGAGCUGUGAAAAGGUGAGUGAAAGAGAGUAGAAGAUCAUUUGUUUUUGCUAUGGAGUUGUCACGAAAUAAGGAGAGAUGCAGACACUCAGAAUAUUGCUCAACAGAGGUUCUAAUUCAGAUAAAUGUUUUUAGUUGAUUAUGAUUUUCCUUCUUACAAGAGUUAGUCCUUAUAUUAAAAUAACAUAAGACUUUAGGGGUAUGAUUUGGAAAAGACCUAUUGGAAAUUGUAAUUUCGUAGGUAGACAAUUGGUUUUAUGAAGUAAUACUAAUAGUAAAAUGUAAGUAAACAAACAUAGAAAAAAAGUCGAAGGUUGAAUAUAGCCAAUUCAAUGCAAGAGAAAAUAAUGUUACGGCAAUCUUUGACCCCCUACAAAGAGAGAAUCUUCCGUAGAGUUGCCACACUAUGAUUGGUGGGUGAGACCAAAUGCGGAGAGUGUUUUGUGUGUACGGGCAUAUGGUAGAGCUGCCACGCUAUUGUUGGUGGGUACGUGUGGGACAAAUGCGGAGAGAGUACUUUGUGUGUGCGGGAUAGUCGCAUGGUCUGGAUGUCCAUAAUGAAGUUUUUCUCCUUACGAUGAAUGGAUAAUUGUCUAUUGUUUUGUUUAUUCAGUUACGUGAUACCUUCUGUUGUAGGGUACUGAAGUGAGGAAACUCACGUUGUUGUUCUCCUCACGGCCAUAUGUGAUGUUUGGGUACAAAUUGUUUGGGUUCUGCAUAAAAGCAUACUUAACAAAAUUAAAGCGCAAAUCUAGUUGGACCAUUUUAGUACCCUAACUCUAACUGAACCAACCACGCAUCUUAGACCUGGUUUGGGAGUGAGGUGCUUAAAAAAAAAGCACCCAUGAAAAAAAGCUGUAAGAGUUUUAGGUGUUUGGUAAACUGAAAAAAAAAAGGCUUAUUUUGGAAGCUGCUGUGAGAAUAAGCUGAAAUCAAAGGAAAAAACUGAAGCUGCUAUUUGCAGCUUUGGAAAACUGGUUUUUUUUCAAAGCACACGGAGCUACAGUGCUCCUUUAAUGAAAAGACCCACUAUUAGACUGCUUUUUUUUCCAAAAGCACUUUUACAAAAAAGUUUACCAAACACUCUGCUGCUUUAUUUCACAGCCGCUUAUUCUCACAGCAGUUUUUUUUCAAAGCACAGCAAUAUCAAACCAGCCCUUAGUUUGCUCCAUUCCUUCAAGUUCGAGAUUUGUGUUACCAACUAAUGCAUCACAAUCUUUCCAAAAAAUAAAAAAAAUAAAAAAAACUAAUGCAUCACAAUAUAUAAGACAUUUUAUUCAAAGAUGAGGACGGACUACAAAGAAAUUCUUUCUUGCAUCCAUCUGCAGGAAACUUUAUUCAAGGUUGUCGUAAAAAAUACAUAAUUAAAGUGACAUGAUAAGUUCUACAAGCUUAUUCAAGAAUUUGUAGGAAGAACCACCUUUCCUCAAAGAAACUUCUAUUUUCUCUUUCAAAUCCUUGGCCCUAACCCGCAUCACUUCCCCAUCAACAUCUACCAUCAGUUUCCGGACAGCUCUCUCAAUCUCUCCUCUCUCUACCUCAUUGUCUAAAUGUAGCCCUACUUUCCAUACUUGGCCAACGUACCUUGAAUGCACCUUCUGAUCGCCAAAAGACGGCAGGCAUAUCAUUGGAAUCCCUUCGGACAAACUUUCUAGCGUUGAGUUCCAACCGCAGUGGCUCCAAAACCCUAUGAUUGCGCGAUGGGACAAAACUUCCCUCUGGGGUACCCAUUUUACAAUGCGACCACGUUCUCCAAUCGCUUCUAUGAAACCUUGAGGCAAUAGCUCAAUCCAAUCUGAACCAUUCACUGAGCCAGGUCUGAUUACCCAUAAGAAAGGCUGCUUGCUGUUAGCCAAUCCCCAAGCCAUUUCGGCAAGCUCUUUCUCACUGAUGGAUGCUACACUUCCCAAGCUUACAUAGAUAACCGCAUUGUUAGAUUGCUUAUCGAGCCACCCAAUGCAGCUUGUGUCCUCUUCUAGUAAGCUACUAGAAGCUGCAGCUUCAAUCUUGUGAAGAGGACCUAUGGAGAAGAUUGGAACUGGGCAUUGUUGCUGGAUCUGUGCUAGUGAUGAUUGCUCAAGACAAUCAGUAGUGUUCCAAACGAUUGCUGAUGCUGUCUUAACAUUGUGUGCAUUAACGACUAGUUCCGAGUACUUUUCUAAUGAGUCAAAGUUGUUGGUGGGCAGAUCCUUCAACCUGAGGGGAUCAAAAUCGGGCAGCGGCCUCAGUGACUGAGAGUCUGCAAUCCAACAGUUUUGUUUUCUUAGUUAUAUGCAAGAAAAACGAACAUAGAGUCUGUACUCUGAUUAAGAAAUAUAUAUGACACAUACCUGGGAAUGGGAUGUGACCUUUUGAAUGAAGCUGUAGUAGAGCAGUACGAGCUUGAAAAUUGGUAACGCUGGUAGUUCGUAACAUGAUGUUUGGGAUGUUUAGAUCCUUAGCUACAGCUUCAGUGAAGUACAUAAAGUCAUCAUAGAUAACGCAGGUGAUUUUGUUCUCGGGUUCCUGUUCCAUAACUUGAGUCAAGCGUUGUCGGAAACUCGCUUUGCAGUUGGCAUUUAUAGCCAGCAGAAUGGCUAUUGCAUUCCCAGAUGAGAUCUCUUCAGCUGUCAAGCCAUCUUGUAUUGGAAAGAAG